ensembl:processed_transcript
UUAAGUCUCUGCCAGAAGCCCGAGACCUAUGGAGAGUGGCUGAUAUUAAGGCUUUCCAUCAGCAGAUAUGAGUCACGUUACACUGCAUUCCCUUCUUCGGUUUCCACUUUAAUGGUCAUUUUCUUCCCCCCCGAAAUAUUUUCAUCUCUCUCUGUCGCUCUCUCUCUCUCUCUCUCUCUCUUUUUUCCAGUUACAUGACAUCAACGUGGAGGAUGAUGCUCUGGGUUUCAGACUCUUCAGAUGUUGAUUCUUCUGCUUCUCUACCCUCUGGAGACUCUGCCUGCUGCCGUUUGGAUUUCAGAAAGGUCAUUGACACAACUGUGUGGGUUUCCAUCCAACACUGAAGAAUAAAUUGUUUCAUGUCAGGAAAUGGACAAAAAUGAUUGCCAAUCCAAUAUUCAAAAGCAUCACCAUGGCAACCAGAAUUGAGUUAGGACCCUGGAUUCUUCCACCGUUGCUUCUUCAACCAGGUCCAAGCUGGCCUUCUUGGUUUCAGCUAAGCUCUUUGGUUUAAUAGACUCUUGUUUCCUGAUCUUGACCUCUGGUUUGGGAGUGGGUGUGUUGAGCGUUUUGGGAGGUGGAGGCAUCCUGGCCAGACUGGACUGUGUGAUUUCAGGCUCCUCAUCUUCGGGCUCCUCUGGCGGUGGCAACUGCUUCACCGGCUUCACAUAAUAACUGUGAUAGGCAGUAUGAAGCUGCCCGUU